ensembl:processed_transcript R74862 expressed sequence R74862
GCAGGAUGGUCCCCAAAACAACGUUCAGGAGGGUGCGAGUACCCCCUUCAUAGCUGAGGGCUAUUGAUUACCUGGCUCUAGCCCGCAGGCUCUUGCACCUGUUCCCAGCACUUAGAGGGGGUAGGCCAGCGAUCCCCUAAUUUCCCGUUCCCAGAAGCCCCUCGAGACGAGGCCCGGAAGCUCAGCCCUCGGCCCCAACCCGCUGGCGAGGGGCGCCAGGACCCCGAUCGGCGCACGGAGCCCACAGGUGGCGCCGCAACUUCGCGGUUGCGCUGCGCCUUCUCAGCAGGGCCUAGCGCGCUGCCCAGCCUGGCUAUCGUGGGGUGCGCCCUGUCCCCAGUGGCUGCUCACCCAGAAGACGAAAUUGAAGACGAAGAGCAGGAUUUCAACAUAGACCAAAGACCAGCAUCUCUUCAGGAUUCCUCUAGGACUCCAGCACUAGAUGGUCCUGCUGAGACACCCAGUCUCAUGGACUGAACAACUACCAGAUGCUUGGCCUUUCCACUGGGAGACUGCUAUUGUUGGAAUAAUAGGCCACAGCCCUUAAAGAUCUGAUUUGUCCGUGGUUAAAGAUGUGAGCUCGCCAUGUCUUCCACUUGUUGCUAUGCCUUCCUGCUAUGAUGGACUCUCAUCCCUCUGGAACCGUGUUUCCAGAGCGGUCUAACCUGGGCAGGAGUGAGCACUUUCCAGCAGGUGGCCGAGUACUAAAAGGUGGCCCAGUCUAAAGAGAAAGCAGUGUUGGCUGUCUGCUUGCCUUCCCUGGGUCUGGAGCCAGUGUGUUCAUCUACCGCCGCUGUCCUCUUCUGACGUCAGACCAAAGUUUCUUCAGACUUCUCUAACAUGAAUGAAACAGCAGUGACUCUUCAGGAAUUUUCCAGGCCUUCAGCACCAGGCUGAGACUGCUGAAGCAAUCAGCUUUUUGGACUAAACAGCCUGUUUAGUAUUGUAGGCCCUGUUUCUGAACACCACAGUCAGAUUAAGUUUGUAUCCUUUUAAUCCUCACAAUGGAGAUCAAACUUGGACAUGACAUUAAACUUCAAUUCAACUGCAUCCAAACCAUAUAAUUACUAAGGGACUAACCUUAAAGCCAAAGGCAGAAGAGCACGGGAGGCUGCCCUGGGAUUCACUGAAGUUGCCAUUCAUAUAGCUAGUGAUCGGGGGCACUCUGUGGAAUGUGACUUCUUAGGAAUCAUUUAAGAUUGCAUUGGGAGAUUGCAUUGCAAAAUUGCAUGGUGUCCUGUAGCAUAUAAUAUGUGUAGCCAAUGUGCGGUGAUGCUUUCCCCCAACCCAGAAUCCCCCAGCUGGAAGCCUCAGGGGUAGCUGUGGGGGCACCACUUCUUUCAAUAAGAGCUAAUGAGCCAUCCUAGGAUUCUGCUUCAUGCCUUCAAAGACAUUUCCCUGUGUUGAAACUCCUAGAAGCCAACAAGGGAAGAUCCUGGUCAGAGACCAGAAUGUACAGCAGAGCUGGAUGCCUGGUGGCACCUGGCUGCUUUGGGCUCCUCCAUGCUGGGUUAAGAGAGCCACGAGGGUGCUGGCUGAGUAGUGCUAAAAUAAAGAAUGAAGGGUGCUGCUGCUCAUUCUAGGCAGGCUCGGGUAGUCUGGGCUCUGUUGGCCCUCCACAGCAGUAAUAAAAGAAAUAGCAACAAGAGUCAAGAAGAGAUUCUCCCAGGAAUGAAAAACUGGAAAAAAAAGACAAGCCACUAAUGGUUAAAGCCAUGCAGACUGUGACUUGGUAAUGAGCGGCAAGGAUGUGCAUUCUCUUACAGUAUCCAGUGGACGUGUUUUGUUUUUGUUUUUGUUUUGUUUGUGCUGUAUUGUGUAUAUUUUACAAUCUCUAUCUCACUUUUCUUCUUUUUUCCCUCCUGUCCCACCACCAUUGUGUAUAGGAUCCUAUAUUCCUUUCUCCUUCCCUCCAUUGCCCUCCCUUCCUGUGGUUUUGUUUUGUUUUUGUUGUUUCUUUGUUCAUUCAUUUGUUUUUGAAGUGGAGUCUUUCUGUUUAGUCCAGGCUGGCCUCAAAAUUACAAUCCUCUUGCCUCUGCCUCUUUGAGUUUGAACUACACACACACACACACACACACACACACACACACACACAAAACCUUGUCCCGAGUGUUUGUUAAUUUUUUGUCAACUUUACACAAACCUAGACAUAUCUGGGAAGAGGGAAUUUCAACUGAGGAGUUGCUUGCAUCAGAUUGGCCUGUAGGCAAGUCUGUGAGGGCAUUUUCUUGAUUAGUGAUGAUGUGGGGAGGGCUCAGCCUCCUGUGGGUGGAGCUGCCUCUGGGUUGUAUAAGGAAGCAGGCUGAGCAAGCCACGAGGUACCAACUAGUCAGCAGUGCUCCUAUGUGGUUUCUGUUUGAGUUCCUGCCUCCAGGUUCCUGUUCUGCUUGAAUUACUGAAUUGGCUUUCACUAAUAAAAAGUAUAAGCCAAAUAAAUCCUAUCCUCCC